UAUCUCUGUAGAGUCUGCAUAUCAAUAAGCGGAGGAAAAGAAACUAACUAGGAUUCCCUCAGUAACGGCGAGUGAAGCGGGAAGAGCUCAAAUUUGAAAUCUUCAAGGUUUUACCUUGACGAAUUGUAGUUUAAAGAAGUGUUUUCUGUUGGUGUUUUGGUAAAAGUUCUUUGGAAUAGGACAUCAUAGAGGGUGAGAAUCCCGUAUUUGACCAUUACUUCCAGCGUUGUGAUACACUUUCAAAGAGUCGGAUUGUUUGGGAAUGCAGUCCAAAAUGGGUGGUAAAUUUCAUCUAAAGCUAAAUAUUGGCGAGAGACCGAUAGCGAACAAGUACCGUGAGGGAAAGAUGAAAAGAACUUUGAAAAGAGAGUUAAACAGUACGUGAAAUUGUCAAAAGGGAAGCGUUUGACACCAGUGUUGUUUUCUCGAAAAUCAAUUAAAAAGUGUUGGAUUUUGUAUUGAUUAAGACCUUAUCAGCUUACUGUACUUUUUUCCUGCUCUUUUUAAUGCACUUUCGUUUAACAAGUCAACAUCAAUUUCUUUUGUUGUAAAAGAGUCAUUGGAAGGUGGCUUUCACUUCGGUGAAAGUGUUUAUAGCCUUUGGCUUCUGCAAUCGGAGAGAUUGAGGUCUGCAGCGUAGAUCCUUCGGGGUUAGAUACGUAGAUGCUAAGUUAUAGUUUUUUAUAGACAACUUGUUGACUAUAAUUAAUCAUGUAGCUUACUCGUUUGCGCUAUUUUACCUACGCUUAGGAUGUUGAUCUCUCACAGUCGAGC
rnacentral:rRNA from 1 species